UCUCCGUAGGUGAACCUGCGGAGGGAUCAUUACAGAGUUCUCGCCCUACCGGGUAGUUUUCCCACCCACUGUUAUUGCUACUGUCGUUGCUUUGGCGGGCCGCCAGGCCCUGCCCGGCCGCCGGCCCUGGCUGGCGCGCGCCCGUCAAAGGCGCCUAAACUCUGAAUGUCAGUGUCGUCUGAGUACUAUACAAUAGUUAAAACUUUCAACAACGGAUCUCUUGGUUCUG
rnacentral:misc_RNA from 1 species